AUUGAACGCUGGCGGCAGGCCUAACACAUGCAAGUCGAGCCAGCGGCGGACGGGUGAGAAAUGUCUGGGAAACUGCCUGAUGGAGGGGGAUAACUACUGGAAACGGUAGCUAAUACCGCAUACCAUCAGAUUUGCCCAGAUGGGAUUAGCUAGUAGGUGGGGUAAUGGCUCACCUAGGCGACGAUCCCUAGCUGGGCUGAGUGGAUGACAAGACAGACUGGAACUGAGACACGGUCCAGACUCCUAAGGUAGGAAGCAGGUGGGAAUAUUGCACAAUGGGCGCAAGCCUGAUGCAGACAUGCCGCGUGUAUGAAGAAGGCCUUCGGGUUGUAAAGCACUUGCAGCGGGGAGGCGUUACUCGCAGAAGAAGCACCGGCUAACUCCGUGCCAGCAGCCGCGGUAAUUC
rnacentral:rRNA from 1 species